GAUGAACGCUAGCGGCAUGCCUAAUACAUGCAAGCCGAACGGCAAGUUUGAUAGCAAUAUUGGCCCUAGAGUGGCGCAAGGGUGCGUAACACGUAUGCAACAUGCCCGUGACAGGAGGAUAGCUCCCCGAAAGGGGAAUUAACCCUCCAUAACAUCAUGUGAAGGCAUCUGUUCAUGGUUAAACCGCAAGGGUUCGCGGAUGGGCAUGCGGUUGAUUAGCUAGUUGGCGGGGUAAAGGCCCACCAAGGCGGUGAGCAAUAGGGGUUCUGCGAGGAGGGACACCCACACUGAGACUGAGUUACGGGCCAGACUGCUACGAGAGGCAGCAGUAGGGAAUAGUGGAGAGUGGGUGUAAGAGUGAUCCAGCCAGGGCGCGUGGAGGAAGAAGGCCUUCUGGGUCGAAGACUGCUUUGUCGUGUGGAUAAAAUACCCGUGAGGGGGGAAUUGAAGGUAACAGGAGAAUAAGCCACGGCUAACUACGUG
rnacentral:rRNA from 1 species